AGAGCGAACGCUGGCGGCAGGCCUAACACAUGCAAGUCGAGCGCGUGUAGCAAUACACGAGCGGCAGACGGGAGAGUAACACGUGGGAACGCGCCCUUCGGUUCGGAAUAACUCAGGGAAACUUGAGCUAAUACCGGAUACGCCCUUACGGGGAAAGAUUUAUUGCCGAAGGAACGGCCCGCGUCCGAUUAGCUAGUUGGUGAGGUAACGGCUCACCAAGGCGACGAUCGGUAGCUGGUCUGAGAGGAUGACCAGCCUCACUGGGACUGAGACACGGCCCAGACUCCUACGGGAGGCAGCAGUGGGGAAUAUUGGACAAUGGGCGCAAGCCUGAUCCAGCCAUGCCGCGUGGAUGAUGAAGGCCUUAGGGUUGUAAAGUCCUUUUAACGGGGAAGUAUAAUGACGGUACCCGUAGAAUAAGCCCCGGCUAACUUCGCGCCAGCAGCCGC
rnacentral:rRNA from 1 species